rnacentral:sRNA from 1 species
UUUAGACGUAAAAUGGAAUUUUAAUAGGCACAUUUAAAAAAACAAAAAACACAAACCAAAUACCAUUUGUAUUUCCAAUUUAAAAUUCGGACUAUUUUAUAAUUUAACCAAGUUUCCCAUUUGCGGCAAAGGAAAAUAAAAAUAGCGUUUCUAACCUGAAAUAAUUUACAACAUUCCCACCGCAUUUCGAAAAAUAAUACGGCUCUUUUUAAGUUUUAAUAUGCGGUCUAACAAAAAUUUGCGCUGGUAAUAUAUUGCAGAACUUUCGAGGGUAACGGAUUUAAUUUCGGUAUCGUUUAUAAUUAUUACGAUUAAGGGGGAGAAAACGUAUUUAAAAUCGCGAAACAUAUGGCGCUCGAUUACCUAAUUAAUAACGUUGGUAACAAAAACUUUUAAUUGGACCUUUUUACGUCGCAAAAAUUAGUAGCAGUUUUUUAUAAUUCGCAUAUUUUUUAAAGCUAUUACGAAUAAAUAUGGAGGAAAAUAAUAUUUUGUAAAUCGCGUGCAAACAGUCCAGGGCCUCCUCGCAAUUAAAUUUCUCCAUAUCGAUAUUAAAUUCGCUGGUGGCUUUGGAUAACGUCCCAAUAACUAAUUUUAAAUCGAAUUUGUUAUAAUAUGCGCCUCGGUUGCAAUUUAUACUGGAACGAUAUUUAAAUAAAAUAGAAUUAAUAAUAUUAAACCGCGUUCGUAAUUUAUUUUUACCGGUCCUGUGGAGGUUAUCCGUAUAAUAAUAGUUGUAAUUGAUAAAAAAACCUUUCAAAUUUUCGAUUAAUAUCCUCAACUCUUUUCGGGUUUUCGUUUUGCGUUUUUCAAAACGUUGCCUGAUUUUAAAAAAUUUAAUUUAGGCGCAUUAGCGCAUUAAUAUUUAGCAAUCGAAUAAGAAUUUUGCGGUAUUAUAUUUACCAUAUUCGAAAAAUAAUAUCCUUAAUUCCCCUUUUUUUAAAGAAAAUAUUAUAAAAUUGCUCGCAAAUGUAAUUAACGAGGUCGAUAUGGGAUUCGGCGAAUUUAACCCAUAAUUGAAAUUGCUUCCAAAAAAACUCAGUUAUUAUAUUUGGAUUAAAAUUCCCGAACAACUUAAUUUCUCGCGAACGUUAUAUUAAUUGUUUUACCCAUUCCGUUACCUUGGUUUUCGAAAGCCUUUUUGGUCCUGGCGUGGCAAUUUUAAUUUAUAUAAAUAUCUCGCAUUUUACGCUGUUGUCCGAAACCAAAUCGGCGUGCACGACUGCAGGAAUUUGAUAUUUGUAUCUUUUCGUCCAAAUAUCUUCUGAAAAUUGGCUGUUGCAAUAUUAAAUGGCUGCACGGAAUCGAGCGAUUGUGUUUUUGUUUUUUAGGUUAAACGCAUUUUCCCCGCCUGAUUUAAAAAAUUCGUAUUUAUAAUGCCCGUUUAAAAUUAUUUUGCAAAUUUUAUAGCAAUCCAUAUUUAAAUGCGUUAAAUAUAUGCGGCAAUUUAAAACAAUCGAUCGCAAAUCCCCGAAAGGUUUUAAUUUACUUUCAGAUAAUUUUAAAACCAUUUCGAAAUCUCCCAUUAGGCGGGGAAAUUUAUUUUUUACAUGGCCGUAAAAUAGGUGGUUAAAUCGCGUGCGCAACGUGUUAAUACCACACGUUUCCUGUGGUAGAAUUUUAAAAUUUAAGGACCGAAAGAAAUUCGUCUUUAAUAUAUUGCGUUUUUUAAAUAAAAAAUUUCGUUUUUCAAAUUUUCGAUUUUUUAUAACGUGCCAACCGAAUUGAAAAAAAACGUCCUCGUUACGGGCGAAUUUAAGGAAUUUUUUUUCAAAACCAGACCCGGUUUUAAAUUUGUCCGGUUUUAUAAUUAUACCAAAUAUUCGUUCGCCAAAAAGGUUAAAUUUGCGAAUUUAUUAAAGGAUUCUUUGGUUUGCCGCGUUAUUCGUAACCGAAACAACCGUUAGGCAAAUGGUACGAGGUUGGGAAAUAUAAUAAUUAGUAAUUUUUUUAAUUAUUUUAACGUUAUUAUUUAAAAUAUCCUUGGUAAAAGUUUAAAUUAGGCCUGGAAUAUUAACCAGGGUUAACUAAGGACGGUUCGGGCCAUUAAUAUUAAUACUAAACGUAUUUUUGGUAAAGGCGCUGGUAAAUAAUACGUUAUCAAAUCCUAAAAUCCCCAUUACCGUUAUAACCGCAUUAAUAACAAUAGGCAAAUUAAUAAAAGUAAUAAUAAAUUGGGAAAAGGUUUUAAUAUUUUGUUUUUUAUAUUUAGGGCGACUGUUAUUUGGAACAAUUUUAACAGUAAUUUUAUCGACGGCCUCGCGGCGGAAAUUAAUUUUAAUAACAAAUCUGGUGCAAAGGUUGUCGUUUUUGGGGAAAGGAAUCUCAAUCAGGGCUUCCAAUACGGAACUUUUCCCAGCAGAUUAAUUUCCACAAACGACGAUUUAAAAUAGAAAUAAAAUAUUGUCGAAACCACAUUUUCGCACGUAAUUAAUGGUGUCGAAAAGAAUUCGUUGCUCCGUUAUUUGGAACUUUUCCAAAAUGGAUUUAUAAAAUAGUUUGUUAAAAAAAAAGGAAUUAUCGGGAACGCCCAUAUUAGCCAAUAGGAAAUUGUAAAUUUGAAAAACGAAUUUGAGGGAAAUAGGGGACGGGAUAAUAAUAUUUGAAAAAGAAAUUAAAGAACUAAUAGCGAAAAUAUAACCUUUGCUUAAAUUUUUAAAUUGUUAUCGAAGGCCAAAAUCGUGUUAUAAGAUAAAAAUAUAAUAUUUUUUAACCGAUAAACCUUUCGUUUUUUAUCGUUGGAAUAAAAAUAAAAAUCCUUAAAAACCUCCUCCCCUAAUAUUAUUAAAUGGCAUUUAUUUUUAAAUUGCAGGACCUAUAAUUAACCGCUAUACCACGUUAUAAAACAGGGCGGUUAAUUACAUUAACUGGCCUAUUAAAAAUCCUAAAUUUAAAAAAUAACUUUUCCCGUAAAGUUACCAUUUCUCAAUUAUGCGGGAGGCCCUCCUUUUCUGGGCCUCCGUUUCCGCCAAAUUAAACACAUUUCCUCGUUCAAUACCAACAAAAUCUGGCAAAAAAAAAAUAAAUUUCCAUUUCUUUUAAAGCCAGUAGAAAAACGUAAAUUAUAUAUAUAUUUGGUUAAUUAAUUUAAAUUACUUCCUUAAGGCGCUAAACUAAUUAAAGGAACCGUUACAUUACCUAAUGUUGGAAAUUAUGGAAGUUUUUUAGCCCAGCGUAUGGAAAACCUGUUAUAUAGUCGGCCGCAUAUUAGGUAAAGAAACGAUUUCCAUUAGCAGGUAUUUUAAAAGCUUUUAAUUGGUUGUCCAUAUCCGACAAAAUAUAAUAUAGGAGGCCCACCAUCCUCCUAUUAAUUAAAUUAACAGUUUUGGAAACGGGCGAUCCAGCCACAAAUUAAUAUAUAUAAAAGGCCCUCCACCGUUUAUUAAUGGGGUCAAAAUUAAGGCAUUUGCCAAAAUAUUUGUAAAAUACAAAUCUCGAUUUUUGGGGAUGUGUUUGUUAAAUUUGGAAUUUUUGAUUUAUACCAUUGGAAUUGGCCGUAUUAGGUUUGCUUACGCCCUAAAUAACGCAUUAUUAAUAAAAUUGAAAAUUAUUAAUUUUUUAAUUAAAAAUGCCACUAUUAUGCAAAAAACCUUCCAUAUGCAACGCCUAAAAAAAAUGUUUUGUUGCGGGUUAUUAACCAAGAUACCUGUUUGUUAGAAAUGUCGGAAACCCUCGGUUGCAUGCGCAAAUAUUGUUAGUAUUAUAUAAAAAGCCUGCUAUUUUCCUGCCAUUAUAUCGCACAAAUAAUAAUUUUGGUGGUUAUUAUUUAUACGAUUACGAAAAAACAUUUGGGAUGCAGGAGGUAUUAAUUAAUACGCUGUAUUAUCCCCUAUUAUUUCGCAAAAAAUACCCAACCAUAAAUUACUAAUUCCAAAAAUGGAGGGCCUCCUGCAUAAAAGGGAUUUCUAUUCCGACUGGCUGGCUAAUAAUUUAGCACACUAUAUAUUAAAUUAUAUAUGGGUACAAUAUAUAGGUUUUGUGGCAAAAACGGAAAUAUGUGGGCGCAAUUAUAACGACCGUUUCCAUAUUAUUACCAUAUUAUCGCCUGUUCGCGAAUAUCAACUUGCGCCUUUCCUAUAUAAAAAAAAUACGUCUAGCAACUUUUUUAAGCCCAUAAAUUAUAUAUCGCACAUUUCUAUCGUUUCGCGCGAAUAGAUUAUAAUAUUUGGACCUUAAGACCACCAGACCCUAACCCUAACCCCUAACCAACGACCCACCAGGGUAAUAUCUGACGUACAUUAACGUAUACGUACAGUUAAAUUUAGUGGGUAGGAAAGCCAUAUAUUGGUAUAGGCCGUGUUAUUUGUGCUAAAACGCGUGUUGGAGCUUUUAUCGUAUUUCUAACGCUAAUU